GGGUGCAUACAAGUACAUCCACGAGCUGUGGAGGAAGAAGCAGUCUGAUGUCAUGAGCUUUCUUCUGAGGGUCCGCUGCUGGCAGUACCGCCAGCUCUCUGCUCUCCACAGGGCUCCCCGCCCCACCCGGCCCGAUAAAGUGCACCAACUGGGCUACAAGAUCAAGCAAGGUUAUGUUAUCUACGGGAUUCGUAUUCUCCGUGAUGGCCGAAAAUGCUCAGUUCCUAAGGGUGCAACUUACGGCAAGCCUGUCCAUCAUGGUAUUAACUGAAGCCUACAGUUGAUUGCAGAGGAGUGAGUUGGACGCCACUGUGGGGCUCUAAGAGUCCUGAAUUCUUACUGGAUGGGUGAAGAUUCCACACACAAAUUUUUUGAGGUUAUCCUCAUUGAUCCAUUCCAUAAAGCUAUUGGAAGAAAUCCUGACACCCAGUGGAUCACCAAACCAGUCCACAAGCACAAGGAGAUGCGUGGGCUGGCAUGUGCAGGCCAAAAGAGCCAUGGCCUUGGAAAGGGCCGUAAGUUCCACCACACUAUUGGUGGUUCUUGCCGGGCAGCUUGGAGAAGGCGCAAUACUCUCAAUCUCCACUGUUACCACUAA
rnacentral:lncRNA from 1 species